GGUGUAGUGACGUCACUGCCGGGCGGCCAUCUUCCUCCCCGCCGCACCCCCCUCCACGACUCCUCCCCCUCCCGGGAGGGGAGGAGCGACCCCGGCAAGUGUCGGGGAGUUGGCGGGGUCGUGCAAGUUGUCGCGCGCCGACCAUCCCGCACGAGACGGCGUCGAGGUGGAAACACGGACCCCCCCUGGAGGGCCUCCGUUUCGAACAGUGGGCAUGGAACUCUUUUGUCAUUUUCUAAAUAAUAAAAAAGGGGGCGACGAGGGUGUUUUAUGCUGACGUACUAUAUAAUUUAAAAAAAAAUGCUAAGCCUGUUUCUUGUAGUUAGUCGCAAUAACUGGACGUAUCACAAAUAUUGUAAAAAAACAAGUAUUUCGUAAACGUGUCCAUGUUUUUAUACGUAUAAUAUUAGUAGCUAUGUGUCACCUAGGCGGCAUAGUUCAGAUUUUUUUGCAUAGUUGCGAAAUAAAGAAAAGAACUAUAGGUACGUGGCCAUUUCGAUCAAGUUUGACGGAAAACAUGUCUUUCAUUCGAUUAAUUUGGAAGACAUAAAAUGUAUUUUAAUACUUGGCCUAAUUCCACUGUUAAUUGAUCAUAUCGGUUGCUUUACUACCAUAAAAAUAAACUCCCAAAUAUUUUAAAUCCCCUAAAGUCUAGAGCGCUGGCAAUUGCUUCAUCAAGAAAGAACUUUUAAAGUUCUUUGCAUCCUACAUGUAUCUUCCGAAUAUACCACUUUUUUACUAAAGCAUUUUGUAAAUAACCGAUAGUGUUUUCUAGUUCGUAAAAAAUUUAAUACUAAAUUCAAAUUGUAUAUUAUAGAUAUUAUCAACUCUAAAAUAAUUACGUAUCAUCUUGACAUAUCUUAAAUCUUUACAUUCGAUCAAGUUCCAAGAGAUUCCGUUACAAAUAAAUAUUCCCGCGCAGAUAACAUAAACGCUUGUUAAAUCAUAACUGGAGUUUGAAAAUUUUUGGGUCAUUCAUGUUAAUAGUUUAUACUAACGUUUUAUAGUAUUUAAAGAUAUCGUGACCGGUUCGACGCAACUACGGUAGUUACAUUAAGGUCUGUAAAUACUUCAUCAAGCUGUAAAUGUUUAGAAUCACUGGGAAAAUAGAAGAGAGAAAAAAAAUGUCAGGCAGGAAUUCUUGACUCGGUGCUUGAGUGAAUGUGAAUGACAUGCUUUGAAAUGUCAAUUACUUGGUAAAUAUUUAGAUAUUUAGGUGAUUUAGCGCUGCCAUCAUUGGUAUCUCGUAGUUCCCCAUGUGUAAGAACUGUCGUGUUAGUCGUGAGGGGGUUACACAUGCAUGUGUUGUAAAUAUGUUGUGACGUCGCCCUGUUGGCAAGACUGUGGCGAAGGACGUGGAGGUGGGCCUUAUUGAAGGCUUGCCAACUGCAUCGCAUCGCCAGGUGCACCUCGGCUGACAACACUUCAAAGUGAGCGACGCAAGGCUGCACGGCGACGCAGAGCGAAGAGCAUAACGAGACAAGACAAGUCACUCGACGGUUGCGAUCUGCCCGCAGUGUUGCCAACAGCCUCCAUCAGUAGGUUCCGCACGUAGCACAGCUGGAGAGUACUGCCAACUGCCGCUUACCUCACUUCCCAACUCACACUUGCACUCCGCGGGAAGAAGAGAAGAAGACGAAGAAGAAGUACAUGACGUUCUUAGCUUUUUAUUUAGACGCUGGAGGGGAUUUGCGAGGUGUGUUCGUAGAGCUGAGGAAAUGAUGUUCCACAUAAGUACUUACGAAUUCUUAGUUUUAAGUCGAAUACUUGUUCUGAAAUUACGUAGAAUAAAUAUAUCAAGUCUAAUCGGGGCAUCAUAACUCUAUAGUUUAACGAUGCUUAAUUACUUUUAAAUAUAUUUACAAUUUUUAAUGAAGUUGUAUAUGGUCAUACUUUAAGACGAAACAAGUAAAUUAAUCAUUAUUCCAGGAGCAAUUGUGCACCUAAAUAUAUAAAUAAGCUGUUUUAAAGUGCUACUGAGUUUCCUCUUUACAUUAGAUGCUCAUAUCAUUUUAUCAGUAAAUUUAAAAUUAUAUCAAAUAUAUUGUAUUAUAUUAAAGUUCAAAUGAAAUCGAUCCAUAUCAUCCUUAAAUAUCAAACAAAUAUAUACUUUAUAUUAAAAAACUGUAAUGUAAAAUUUAUUACUUUUUUAAUGUGUGUAUAACAUUUGUGAAUUUGUGAUAUGUGAAUUUCAGUAUGUUGGCAAAAUUCAUAAUAUGUACAAUAUUUGUUAAGUUUUUUUAGCAUUUAUUAUGGUAAUGAGAAGCGAAAAUAUGACGUUGUUAUAUUGUAGAAUAUUAUUUCGCUUGCGGAAAAGUUGUUACUAGAAUGCAAUUAUUUUUAUGUUGGCAACUAGAAAAUAAUGGACGACCACAGUUCUUAGUACAUGCCUAAAACCCAUAUAUUUUUAAUUUCUAAAUACCUCGUUUUGAAUACGUGUUUGAAGCAUUUAUAUUUUUGUCUACUAAAUGACAAUGAAACAUAAUGUUGUAAAUACUAUUGUGUCUACGAACGUAAUAUUAUUGUCUUAGAAUUCCAUAUUCUAAACUUCACUUGCUUCCUGUAAAUAAGAUUAGUUUUUUUUAUUUCAAAAGUAGUUUUAAUAAUAGGAUUGUUUCAUGUGCAUUCAUUAGUUUUUAUUUGUGAUAGCCUAUGUCUUAUAGGUACUGUUAUUUUUUAUCUUGUCUUUCCUAGCGACAAGAUGAGAACUAUUUUUUCUUGCUUUAAAGUAGUUUAAAAUAAGAUUCUUCAGUAUACAUACAUUUAUUUAUGUUUCUUGAGAACCGAUACAAAUAAAUUUAAAACUUUAAGCAGUUUUUUUUGUGGCAGCUUUAUACUAAAUGAGAAAAUAAAUAUAACCAUAGACUUCCCAUAAGUAUUUAAAACAAUAGAUAGUUUUUAUCACAAUAUUAUUUUAUAAAAUUUAAUUUAAUUUUUAACUAAUAAUGUGGUUCCCAAAAUUAAUUUAUAAAUAAUAUCUCAAAGUUUUCGCCUAAAUUUUUUAACCCUAAAUUUGUUAGUGAUAUUUAGAUACCCGGAAAAUUCGCGGAUUCAAUGACCUCCAGGAUAGACUCCAAUAUCCUCUACACACUCGGGUAAAUGCCAACUGUUCAUUGGCUGCUGACUUGUGAGUCGUCUCGACUGGGUGGCCUGUGAUUCGACACUUCUAUGAGUGAGGGUCUCUAAUUGGCCCUCAGUCCUCCAGAUUAACAGUGAACCAAUGACAGAAGCAGCACUAAGGUAUAAUUAUUUGAAUUUUAGCAUAACACUAAAUGAACCCGUGAAUUUUCCGGGUCUCUAGUGAUAUUGAAUAAGAGUGAGAUGUUUAUUUUCAAAGGUGAUAUAAAAAUAGUUACCUUUACUCACUCGGUUACUCACUCACUUUGGUCACUUGGUUUUGAAGUCCAGGAAAGCCUUGUUGCAAAAUUAUUUUUGAAACUAAGUAUUAUAAACAGUUAAAAUCACAAAAUGUUAUGUAAAUAUGUACAAAUAUAUUUAUUGUGAGUAUUUAAAGAUUUUUAAUGCGUUAUUUAAAAAAUACUGGUAUGUUUGCGCACGUAACUUAUGGGGUGCAUUAUCUACAACACUUAUGUAGUUCUAAUACAAUGUUACAAAAAAGUAUUACGUCAAAUAACAAUAUUUGCGAAUUCACUCACACAAAUGUGUCAUAUUGAAAACAAAACCUCAAUGGCCCAAAAAACUGUAUUUUUUAUUAAAGUCCAAAUAAAUAUUUGUUUUUUUAAUGGUUUAAUUCGUUACCUAAAAAAAUUAUUUAUCAGAAUUACAAAACUAAACGAAGUAUGUCAGUAGAACCAGUUAUACUUAUAUUCGUAACAAAAGUCUUAUAUACUCGCAAUUUUCAUUGGUCAUUGACUUUCGUCUCCACGAGAUGAAAUAUAAAUCGAUUUUCCGCGGCACCUAUGGGACAUUUUAAUAAGCUUGAAUGAUAUUUAAAUUAUAUCCCAGCACAAAUUGAUGAAAUUCCAAUUAAAACUAUAUUAACAUUUUGUGUCAGCAAAUACAAUUAUUAAAUAUAUAAUUUUACGGCUAUGACUUAAUUUAUACGCCCCAGUACGUUAAAAGAUCAAAUUGAAAACCGAAUCAAUUCAAAAACUAGUCAAGGUGGUUCAGAACCACUCCGAGGAUACUACUCGUGUCGCAGCCCGCCUAAAAUGCAGGUUCGCGUGAAAUAGCGACACAAGGGCUUCUGGUAGUGACUAUAGUGUGUCCCACGCUUAGUUCGAAGCACAGAGCAAACGGCGCCCAGUGUUGCCAGACUGAUGCUGCCCGGUUCGUCAACAGUGAAAAUCUUCUUUUUUACACCAUAGAUAAUUACGUUUAAAUAUUUUUAAAGUGAAACUUAUUUGGGUGCGAUGAGAGUAAAAUUUCAAUACCAAAUUUUAGCGCAACGUGUUCGUGAAGCAUUGUUGUGUAAGGUUUUUGACGCAAAAAGGACAGAGAAUAUGAACUUGGCCAAAGAAAUAUAUAUUCGAGGUUUGAAUUCCGAAUUAAGUUUCAUUUCUAUCGUGUUUACUGAGUUACACGCACUCUAUACUAUUUGUUGAUUUUUCUAAGACCAUAAAAUUGUGUAUUCUGACAAUGUUAUAAUAGUUGUAUACAAUCUGAAAGAUAAAAUAUCGAUUCUAAACAACAUUUAUUAUUUAAGUAGUCAGUUGCUAUUCAUAACAAGUCAUUCCAUUCAUUUUGUUCUACAAUCAAAAAAAACUAUUUUUUUUAAAAUAUUAAAUGCUACAAAUUUUUAAGGACGAAAAUAUUUUAAACCAAGAUGGCAUAUUUCAAUUACGUUUCAUUAUAAAUCAAAUUUGAGUAUGACCAAAUGGUGCUCUUGAUGAAAUACAAAAAUAAAUUUCCAAAAAAAAAAAAAAAAA